GCCAGCAGCCAUAUCACUCUGCAACUCACAACUGGCAGUCCACUGAAGCUCAGCAGGUGUGAGCCUGGUCAGUACCUGGAUGGAAGACCUCCUGGGGAAAAACUAAGGUUGCUGCUGGAA
rnacentral:rRNA from 1 species